rnacentral:tRNA from 1 species
GAGGGUAUAGCUCAAGUGCUGAAGCACAUGCUUAGCAUGCAGGAGGCCCUGGGUUCAAUCCCCAGUAUCUCUA